rnacentral:rRNA from 1 species
AUGGCCAACUUCAUCCCGCUGAUCGACGAGGUGCUCGCUGCUGAUCCGGCCUUGCCUCCUGCUGCUCCGACUUCCCCCACCCCUCCUGCCUCCCCCCACUCGGUCGUCGUCAUCUCAGAUGAUGAGGCAGUGGAGGAAGACCCCGAGGAGGUGGAGUUCGCCUCCGUUGAUGAGUCCACGGACUCCGACGAGGCGACGGUCAACAUCGACAUGAACCCGCCCCACUCCCGCCCUGACUGCAUCAACGUCUUCAUGCCAUACGUCCCCCUUGAGCACUUCGACACCAUCGCCUACGUCAACCCUCCCUCUGCCAACCCGGCGCCUCUCGUCCACCGUGCUUUGAGGGACGAGGCUGGCAACCCUCCAUGCACGCUGGUCACUGCCUCGCACGGGGUUGACAUGCUCGUUUUUGCCACCCCCGAUGACCAUGAGUGCGCUAUGGGGGAAUGCCCCUUCCUUGGACGCGAGCACACCGUCUACCUCAACCGCCACAACGACACCGACAACUGCUUCCUCUUUACCUACCGCGACCUCGCCGCCCUCGCCAUCGAGGACUACCCCAUCGAGCACUGGUUCCCGCAGCACAUCCUACACACCACCGGCCCCUUCGCCAACCCGUUCGACAUCAACCCCAUCUACUUGGCUGGCGUCGACUACUCCGUUGUUCUCGUCACCGUCAAGGCUAGAGACAUCAACGCUGUUCCCCAUGCGCUGGCCAUGCACGGUUUCAACGACAUCGGGGCACUCGCCUCGGUCUCCAUCAUCUCCUGCACCAACCUGCCCGCCGUCGGCUUCGACUUCGCUUCCGCUCCACCCUCGGACGACUCCACCAACGACGAUUUCCCUGCUGACAUGGACACCAACCUCGCUCCACCUCCGCCUCCGCCGACCGGGCAACAACGACGGUGGAAGGAUCACGGAGCUCCCCGGUGGCCGCACCAUGUGGGCCUUCCCCUCGCCCGCGGUCAAGGCCAAGCUGCUCCAGGAGAAACUGGCCAACAUCCUAAUCUACAUGCGCCCGGCUUCUUCGACGUGGUCGUCAUCAGCUCGGCCGGUGACCGUGGUGUUGGGAACGUAGUAAUUUCAAAAAAUUUCUACACCCACGCAAGAUCAUGCUGA